rnacentral:rRNA from 1 species
AGCCUUUAGCAAAACAAAUAUUAAAGGUAACGCCUGCCCAGUGAAACUUAAACGGCCGCGGUAUCCUAACCGUGCAAAGGUAGCGUAAUCACUUGUCUUAUAAAUAAAGACCCGUAUGAAUGGCUAAAUGAGUAUUUAGCUGUCUCCUUUAACUAAUCAGUGAAACUGAUCUCUCAGUACAAAAGCUGAGAUAAGUUCAUAAGACGAGAAGACCCCGUGGAGCUUUAAAUUAUUAACAAAAUAUAAUAAAACAUGUUUAUGAUAAAAAAUUUUUAGUUGGGGCGACUUUGGAGUAAAACUGAACCUCCAAGAAAAGGCACUGCCUAACCAAGGCUAACAGGCCAAACUUAUCGACCCAGUAUUAUUUACUGAUCAACGAACCAAGUUACCCCAGGGAUAACAGCGCCAUCUUCUUCAAGAGUUCAUAUCGACAAGAAGGUUUACGACCUCGAUGUUGGAUCAGGACACCCUAAUGGUGCAGCCGCUAUUAAAG